AGAGAAUUGUGGGGGAACCGGGCACGGUUGAGACUUUAUUUUUACAAUAAAGGACCCUUUGAACCUGAUCUGGAGAGAUGCCAGCGUAGGAAACAUAUUCUUAAUUGAU
rnacentral:ncRNA from 2 species